AGGAAUAUGGUCAGGUAUCAUUCAUAACAGCAGAGCUACAGUGUCUGAGGAGGUCAUACUACCACACUUCCUGCUUAUUCCCUCCUGAAUCCACAAAUCUUCCAACAGAUUUCCCCCAAAAACUAGGACUUUUGGGAAAGUUAACAGAAUUUUGCAACCCUACUCUCAAACUCUGUGGUGACAAUAGUCACAGAAGUUAUCAACUCUGUGGUGACAAUAGUCACAGAAGUUAUCAACUCUGUGGUGACAAUAGUCACAGAAGUUAUCAACUCUGUGGUGCCUUCGCCCGGCAACUGAAAGGCACAUGACCCUAACACCUUGUAUAAUCCACAAGGGCUGUUAGGGAGGAAACAUCAUAACAUACAUUAGACCGGGCUAUAAUUACACAGGCAACAACCUGUGGGAUAUUUCAGUAGAAAGCAGUGCUGAAAGACUAGAAGUUUACUGGCUUCCUGAAUCUGAUCUAGAGGUUUACUGGCAUCCUGCAUCUGAUCUAGAGGUUUACUGGCAUCCUGCAUCUGAUCUAGAGGUUUACUGGCAUCCUGCAUCUAAUCUAGAGGUUUACUGGCAUCCUGCAUCUGAUCUAGAGGUUUACUGGCUUCCUGAAUCUGAUCAAGAGGUUUACUGGCAUUCUGAAUCUGAUCUAGAGGUUUACUGGCAUCCUGCAUCUGAUCUAGAGGUUUACUGGCAUUCUGAAUCUGAUCUAGAGGUUUACUGGCAUCCUGCAUCUGAUCUAGAGGUUUACUGGCUUCCUGAAUCUGAUCUAGAGGUUUACUGGCAUCCUGAAUCUGAUCUAUAGGUUAUAACCUGAAAUACUAGACAUUUACUGCCUUCCUGAAUCUGAUCUAGAGGUUAUAACCUGAAAGAAUAGAGAAUUACUGUCUCCCUGAAUAUGAUCUAGAGGUUAUAACCUGAAAUACUAGAGGUUUACUGGCUUCCUGAAUCUGAUCUAGAGCAUUACUGGCUUCCUGGAUCUGAUCUAGAGGUUAUAACCUGAAAGACUAGAGGUUUACUGGCUUCCUGAAUCUGAUCUAGAGCAUAACUGGCUUCCUGAAUCUGAUCUAGAGGUUAUAACCUGAAAUACUAGAGGUUUACUGGCUUCCUGAAUCUGAUCGAGAGCAUUACUGGCUUCCUGAAUCUGAUUUAGAGGCAAUAACCUGAAAAGGAUAAUUCCACCACUUUUUAAACUCCCAUUCACUAUGUCCAGCACCACACCAGUGUCUACAUAUGUGAAUAACGACAUAUUUCUAUGUUCUGUAGCUACACACAUAAGAAGAAAAGGUCCUUUAGGUUUUGACUUUUCAUGCAGAGUUUCUACAUU